rnacentral:rRNA from 1 species
CGCGAUACAGGGUGACAGCCCCGUACACAAAAGCGCAUGUGUUGUGAGCUCGAUGAGUAGGGCGGGACACGUGGUAUCCUGUCUGAAUAUGGGGGGACCAUCCUCCAAGGCUAAAUACUCCUGACUGACCGAUAGUGAACCAGUACCGUGAGGGAAAGGCGAAAAGAACCCCGGCGAGGGGAGUGAAAAAGAACCUGAAACCGUGUACGUACAAGCAGUGGGAGCACCCUUUGGGGUGUGACUGCGUACCUUUUGUAUAAUGGGUCAGCGACUUAUAUUCUGUAGCAAGGUUAACCGAAUAGGGGAGCCGGAGGGAAACCGAGUCUUAACCGGGCGUUAAGUUGCAGGGUAUAGACCCGAAACCCGGUGAUCUAGCCAUGGGCAGGUUGAAGGUUGGGUAACACUAACUGGAGGACCGAACCGACUAAUGUUGAAAAAUUAGCGGAUGACCUGUGGCUGGGGGUGAAAGGCCAAUCAAACCGGGAGAUAGCUGGUUCUCCCCGAAAGCUAUUUAGGUAGCGCCUCGUGAAUUCAUCUCCGGGGGUAGAGCACUGUUUCGGCUAGGGGGCCAUCCCGGCUUACCAACCCGAUGCAAACUGCGAAUACCGGAGAAUGUUAUCACGGGAGACACACGGCGGGUGCUAACGUCCGUCGUGAAGAGGGAAACAACCCAGACCGCCAGCUAAGGUCCCAAAGUCAUGGUUAAGUGGGAAACGAUGUGGGAAGGCCCAGACAGCCAGGAUGUUGGCUUAGAAGCAGCCAUCAUUUAAAGAAAGCGUAAUAGCUCACUGGUCGAGUCGGCCUGCGCGGAAGAUGUAACGGGGCUAAACCAUGCACCGAAGCUGCGGCAGCGACGCUUAUGCGUUGUUGGGUAGGGGAGCGUUCUGUAAGCCUGUGAAGGUGUGUCGUGAGGCAUGCUGGAGGUAUCAGAAGUGCGAAUGCUGACAUAAGUAACGAUAAAGCGGGUGAAAAGCCCGCUCGCCGGAAGACCAAGGGUUCCUGUCCAACGUUAAUCGGGGCAGGGUGAGUCGACCCCUAAGGCGAGGCCGAAAGGCGUAGUCGAUGGGAAACGGGUUAAUAUUCCCGUACUUGGUGUUACUGCGAAGGGGGGACGGAGAAGGCUAUGUUGGCCGGGCGACGGUUGUCCCGGUUUAAGCGUGUAGGUGUGUGUUCCAGGUAAAUCCGGUUCACUUUAACACUGAGGCGUGAUGACGAGGCACUACGGUGCUGAAGCAACAAAUGCCCUGCUUCCAGGAAAAGCCUCUAAGCAUCAGGUAACAUCAAAUCGUACCCCAAACCGACACAGGUGGUCAGGUAGAGAAUACCAAGGCGCUUGAGAGAACUCGGGUGAAGGAACUAGGCAAAAUGGUGCCGUAACUUCGGGAGAAGGCACGCUGACAC